CAUUAGAUGACUGAAAU
rnacentral:tRNA from 1 species